rnacentral:tRNA from 1 species
GGGCACUUAGCUCAGUGGUUAGAGCAUCCGGCUUACAUCCGGGAGGUCGGGGGUUCAAAUCCCUCAGUGCCCA